CCCUUAGAUGUUCUGGGCCGCACGCGCGCUACACUGAUGCAUUCAACGAGCCUAUCCUUGACCGACAGGUCCGGGUAAUCUUUGAAUCUGCAUCGUGACGGGGAUAGAUUAUUGCAAUUAUUAAUCUUCAACGAGGAAUGCCUAGUAGGCGCAAGUCAUCAGCUUGCGUCGAUUACGUCCCUGCCCUUUGUACACACCGCCCGUCGCUCCAACCGAUUGGGUGUGCUGGUGAAAUGUUCGGAUCGGCCGUUUGUCGCGGUUUCCGCGGCUCGUGGCUGAGAAGUUCAUUAAACCCUCCCACCUAGAGGAAGGAGAAGUCGUAACA
rnacentral:rRNA from 1 species